CAGUCGCCGCGGUAAUACGUAGGGUGCGAGCGUUAAUCGGAACUACUGGGCGUAAAGCGUGCGCAGGCGGUUAUAUAAGACAGAUGUGAAAUCCCCGGGCUCAACCUGGGACCUGCAUUUGUGACUGUAUAGCUAGAGUACGGUAGAGGGGGAUGGAAUUCCGCGUGUAGCAGUGAAAUGCGUAGAUAUGCGGAGGAACACCGAUGGCGAAGGCAAUCCCCUGGACCUGUACUGACGCUCAUGCACGAAAGCGUGGGGAGCAAACGGGAUUAGAUACCCGUGUAGUCCCUGUCUCUUAUAA
rnacentral:rRNA from 1 species